rnacentral:tRNA from 1 species
GGUGAGAUGGCCGAGUUGGUUAUGGCGUCAGGUUAAGGCUUACCUUAGCAUUACAUUUCCUGGUGGAGCAAUCCUCCUGGGUUCGAGUCCCAGUCUCAUCA